CCGGCUCCUCGCCCAUUGGCGGUCGCGCUGUCCUCGGCAGCUCCGGCUGGAGGCGGCUACACUGUGGCGGAAUGGCGGCCGUCAUUCACAACCCCCUCAAAUCGCUGGGAGAGCAGUUCUACAAGGAAGCCAUCGAACAUUGCCGUAACUACAAUGCCCGCCUGUGUGCCGAGCGCAGUGUGCGGCUGCCGUUCCUGGACUCGCAAACCGGAGUCGCUCAAAACAACUGCUACAUCUGGAUGGAGAAGAGACACCGUGGCCCGGGCUUGGCUCCUGGUCAACUGUACACUUACCCCGCCCGCUGUUGGCAUAAGAAGAGGCGUCUGCACCCCCCGGAAGACCCCAGGUUGAGACUUUGUGAAAUAAAACUCGAAGGAGAGAUCACUUUGAAACGGGACGGCGUGUCGGCUGAAGGGACCACUUUGGAAGCCCUACUGCGCGGGGAAGCGCUGGAGAAAAGAAAUGAUCCUAAAGAAGAUGAAACACUUAAUGAAAUUCAGAGAGUUCUAAACAACGAGGAGAAUGUGGAAGACUUAGAGGAGGAAGAACUUGAAGAUGAAGUGCCAAAGCGCAAGAACAAGCCACGGGGAAGGACACGGGGUGUAGGAGGGAAAAGAAAAACAGACGCCUCUUCCCAGGAAGACCAGGACAAGCCAUAUGUGUGCGACAAUAGUUUCAAACAAAAGCAUAACUCAAAAACAUCUGACAAAGUCUGUGGCAAGCGCUACAAGAACCGGCCUGGCCUCAGCUAUCACUAUGCUCACACCCAUUUAGCCGAUGAGGAAGGAGACGAUGACCAAGAUUCGGAGCCUUGUUCGCCCCCCGUCCUGAAGAACGAGGGGCAUAAAAGGAGCGGCGUGUCAUUGCGAAGUAGGAGCAGGGGCAAGAAUAGAACGUUGGAGGACUCCAGAGCUCGGAAGGGCCCAGACGGGGCAAUCAUCUCCAACAACUACUGUGACUUCUGCCUGGGUGGGUCGAACAUGAACAAGAAGACGGGCAGGGCGGAGGAGCUGGUUUCCUGCUCUGACUGUGGCCGUUCUGCUUAUUUUGGACAAGGAGCCGUUAAGGAGCCGGACUUGCGCACGGCAGAGGACUUGUUUGCUGUCUCAUCUGAAAGCGAUGCUUCCACGUUUCAUGGCUUUGACGAUGAGGAUAUGGACGAGCUGCUAUCAACCAACAGUGCCCUCCCGCCUAGUAAUGAUGCAAAUCACACGUGCAGCGGCUAACUGAGCCAUCGUGGCGAUGACCUGCCCGCGCACCACAAACCAACCCAUCAACUCGGGCAGGAUUUAAUGAAUGGUGUUGACAACAGUGGAAGCCGCCUGGAGCCGAAACGAAAAGUUUCUGCUGAAGUCUAGACCUUUUUUGUGUGAAACUGAGCAGAGUUGAUGCAUUUAAUCGUUCAUCAGUAAACACGAUGAAUCUGUCACUUCGAAGAUGAUCGGGAUUGCUUUUGACUUGGGAUUUAUUUUUUAUUUAUUUUUUUUAAAACAAACAAAAAAAGACAUUUGAUUGACUUUAAAUGAGUGAAUCGGUGGGGAACACAGGGAUAUGCGGGCUGCCUCGAUCCUUGCACAGUGCAAUGGCCCUCAGUCAGCUCUCUUCUCUCAUGUGGGUAGAGUUAGCCAAUGCACCUGAGUUGGGACCCUCUUCGCCAGAGGAUUGCACACCUCUAACACCUGUAGUCCUCGGCUUUUACAGCGGAGGUGGAAGAAGCAGUUGUGUCUUUGUUCCCUGGAGGAGAACGCAGCCCACCUCCAGGGUCAACCCCUCCCCCCCCCCCCCUCGUUGACCCAUCUCAUUCAUCUGAAUUGGCCUGGUGGUGUUACCCAGCGCUAACAUCCAUGCGGGGGCUUCUAUUGAGAGGACCACGACCCUUGAGCACAGGUUCUUUGCCCGAGAAAUAUAAUUACACCACCAACCUAUCAUCUUGUUAACUUGAAAAGAAGUCAUCAAUAACCUCGCAAGACAUCCCAGAUGGCAGUGGUCACCGUGCAUACUAGUCCUCAGAGGAGACAAGGAAGGGGAGAAUUGUGACCACCUUCACCUCUAGGAGGCACUGCCUUCCAGCUCCUCAUUAAUGGCAGCCAGCCUGGGGAAUCCGCUGAGCACUCUAGCUGUGUGAAGGAAGACCAGUGGCGGACUGGGUCUAAAAAUAUUGGUUGCCAGGAGACAGAGGGGGCCCACUUCAUCAGGGGCCCACUUGAUAUAGGGGGCCCACUUCAUCAGGGGCCCACUUGCCAUCGGGCAAGCUGACACCCUGGUCAGUCCGUCACUGAGGAAGACUGCUUUCUUUGCCAAUUUGAUUUGGAAACCUUAAAUCAGGUCUUCUGCGGCAUUCGCAGGUAGAGGACGGCAAUGGAGAGGAAAGAACUGAUCACACUUGGCAAUGUUUGACAAUUUAGCCCCAAAAAAUAAACGUUUUUAUGUAGAUACCUUGCUUCCUUUGAAAAAGAAAUGGAUCAUUUUUUUUUUUUAAUGGGCAUGGCGGCUGUUUUGCCCGAUGAACCCUUAGAAAAAGCGUCAACUCUGCUCAGUUUUUGUUAUCAAGGCCAUUUGAUUGAAUCUGAAUAGGAGUGCUACAAUGUGGAUGUGGUAAGUGUCUGAUAUGUGCAUAGCCCGUCUGGAAGUCUAGUCCUACUUUCUAUUUAUUAAUUAGUCUCACCGUAAUCUGCUGUAACUCCUUUCCUCCGCCCUUUGUGAUGAAGUUAUGGUAUUGUCACCAUCAACUAACAUGGAUGCUGUUGUUUUGUUGUACAAUGUUAAAUGUAUAAAAAAAAAAGUUCUUUAUAAAGCCGAUUAAAAUGCUGUGGAGCUUAUGAAAUCUUUAUUUGUUAGAAAAAUAAAUUGCCGAAUGGUCUCACAA